rnacentral:misc_RNA from 1 species
AAGUCGUAACAAGGUUUCCGUAGGUGAACCUGCGGAAGGAUCAUUACCGAGUGAGGGCCCUCUGGGUCCAACCUCCCACCCGUGUUUAUUUUACCUUGUUGCUUCGGCGGGCCCGCCUUAACUGGCCGCCGGGGGGCUUACGCCCCCGGGCCCGCGCCCGCCGAAGACACCCUCGAACUCUGUCUGAAGAUUGUAGUCUGAGUGAAAAUAUAAACUAUUUAAAA